rnacentral:rRNA from 1 species
GGGCCCGCACAAGCGGUGGAGCAUGUGGUUUAAUUCGACGCAACGCGAAGAACCUUACCUGGGCUCGAAAUGUAGUGGACCGGGGUAGAAAUAUCCCUUCCUAGCAAUAGGCUGCUAUAUAGGUGCUGCAUGGCUGUCGUCAGCUCGUGUCGUGAGAUGUUGGGUUAAGUCCCGCAACGAGCGCAACCCUUAUUACCAGUUGCCAUCAUUUAGUUGGGCACUCUGGUGAGACCGCCUCGGAUAACGGGGAGGAAGGCGGGGAUGACGUCAAGUCCUCAUGGCCUUUAUGUCCAGGGCUACACACGUGCUACAAUGGCCGGUACAAACCGUCGCAAACCCGUGAGGGGGAGCUAAUCGGAAAAAGCCGGCCUCAGUUCGGAUUGGAGUCUGCAACUCGACUCCAUGAAGCUGGAAUCGCUAGUAAUCGCAGAUCAGAACGCUGCGGUGAAUACGUUCCCGGGCCUU